UACACAUCGGCUUGGUAUGACCAGAGCCGGUCACUGCCGGACGGUAGCGUUUUAACCUGUUGUGUGUCCUCUUGUUUUUGGUGCUCACGGGAUCUGACCUUUCCACCGAGCUGGCACUGCCUGGAUUUAGCUGAUGUAAUCCGGAGGAUAUUUUUUUAGGGAUUUUUUUUGUUUAUUGCCUUCUUGCCUUGAAAGUUUUCAUCUCCGGAAUAAAAACAUCUUAAUUUAAAUAUUUAAAGCAAUAGCUGUUCUUGGCUUUUUAAGCCCUUGCUUUUCUCCCAAGGCUGGAGCUGUACUGUGCUCACAAGCUGUUUACUGCACUCUGUGUGUAUCCUGCACGCGUUAAGGUGUGAUACACAACAGAAACACCAUCAACAGGAACACGCCUUGAAAGUUUAAAGCAACUUGGUGGCGUUACCGUAAAAUUUUGCGCAGAAGCGGGGCAAAAACACAAGAAAAUGCGCCAAAUAAAAAGUGAUUUUUUUUUUUUUUUAAGCGAUUCUGCAUUUCCUUCAGUAGCCUGGAUGUCUUGGCGUUAGUAGCCACGUCACUUUGUUUGUGGACACUCUGAGGAGCAGAUCCCUGCCCUGUGGCACGGGGGGGGAUCAGGCUCUGAUAAGGUGCCGGAAUGAUCGUCCUGCUGUUCCUUGAGUGGCUUUCCAGACAUGUGGAGAGAAGCAGACACUUGCAGAGCGGAGCUGGGAAGGAGAGCAGAAAGAGGUGAAAAAUGGCUUUCCUUGCACAGAAAGGACCUACAGAGCAGCCAAUGCCUGGAUAAGGCUGAUCCCAGUGCCUGGAUAAGGAUCAUCUCAGUGGAUGGAUAAAAAUCAUCUCAGUGUCUGGAUAAAAAUCAUCUCAGUGUCUGGAUAAGAAUCAUCUCAGUGCAUGGAUAAGAAUCAUCUCAGUGCCUGGAUAAGAAUCAUCUCAGUGUCUGGAUAAGAAUCAUCUCAGUGCCUGGAUAAGAAUCAUCUCAGUGCCUGGAUAAGAAUCAUCUCAGUGCCUGGAUAAGAAUCAUCUCAUAGCCUGGAUAAGAAUCAUCUCAGAGCCUGGAUAAAGAUCAUCUCAGUGCCUUAGGCUGCCACGGUCCCAAGCUGUCCUUGAGGCUGAGGUAGUAGAUUGAAUAGUUGUGGAGUCUGGUCCUCCCUCUGAGCUAACUAUACAAUCUACUGUCUUUCCUAAGGAGACAGUCAGGUCUUCAGCUCUGCUCGUCCACUUCUACACCAGGUGUGGGGCAGGUGGUGCCAGAAAAGCAAAUCCCUGCCCGUGACCCGUCUGUUCUGCUCUGUGGAGGUGAGGUAGUAGGUUGUAUAGUUUGGUGGGAGGGAUUUGAUCCCAUUUCAGGUGAUAACUAUACAGUCUAUUGCCUUCCUUAAAGAGCAGCAAAACCACGGAGGAGCUCCUGAGGCAUCGCUUCUUUUGUGGAGGAUCCAAAAAAGCAGCAUGGCAUUGUUAAACAACUCAGUGGGUGUUUCUCUUACAGCAUCCAGAAUUGCAUUCUUCCAGGAAUUGCUUCAUGCCUCAGGCACUGGUGCAUGGAGCCGCCUGCUUCCAGGGAACCCACCUCUCUUUAGGAUUCCAGAGAACCAGGGAAAUGAGUUUGCACAGCAGCAACUCAGUGUUCAAUUCUGUUCUUUUUUUUUUUUUUUUUUUUUUUUGUUUGCAGGAGAUGGAUUCAAGUUGUAAAAUGUUUAAAUGUGUUGAUCUUUUCUGGUCUGUCCUCAGGUCUGGAGGGGAGAAGACACUUUUGUAUAAAUGGGACGGAUCUGAGCUCAUGAUUUAAUUUUCUUGUGCUCAGUUCUGAAGUUUGAGUUCAGAACCAGAGCCAGGGGCAAGCUCAGCCUGUGGACUCAGAGCCCUGGGAGCUGAUCAGAUUUGGCUGCUUGGCCCCUGCUCAGGAAGUGCAUUUUGUUUUGGACGAGUUCCCAGCCUGUCCCAUGGAACAGAGUUAGAGGGUGGUUCUUUCUGAUCUGAUAAUCCCUUAUCAACUGAACUCCCUCACAUGCAAACCUUGUCAGGGAAUUUUGGGGCUCUUGGGUAUUUACAUAGGGUGAACCAAUGAUUCCAACUAAAAUCUUGUCCUAAAGUGGAGACAGGUAAGGAAGAGACUUGAGGCAAAAGGAGCAGGUUCUAAUCCUUCUGGGUUCUCCCCUGACAACAGACAUGAGAGAAGGCAUCACGCUUCAGAGCUCUGCCCCUGGCAAGGGACAGGGAACUGUUAAUUUUUGUGUUUCUUAGGAGCAGAUGGGACGAUCCCUCUGCCGUUUUCCAGAGUGAGUAGGAUCAAGACCAGGAGUGGAGCUGUAACACGAUCAGGGCUGCACCAGGAAGGACAUUUCAGGCCAUUAUCACGACCAUCUCACUGCCAGGGAGACUGCGAGACCCGAGCCACCGGGGAGCGAGGGCAAGCAGAGGACACCUUCUCAGAUGAAGUGGGAGGGAGAGAGCAGAGAGAAAUUGGAGCCCUCCAGUUUCACCCUGAGCAGAGGCACAGGCAGAGCCAGAGCUGGCUGCUGGGAGUCCCCAGAAUGAAGCAGAAUUUCAGGCCCCUCUGCUGGGACAGGGCGGAGCUGCAGCGGGGCUGGGACGCAGCUGCUGGGUGGGGAUGCUGCAGCUCCGAGCAGAGAAGGAAUGCAGCCCUCCCGCCAUAAAUCUGGCUUUUCAGCAGUCCUGGCGACUUGCUGUGCAAAAAGCUACAGCUUGGUCCUCUGAGCUGCAUUAUUAUCCUCCAGCUGCUUGCUCAGGGGCAGGGGUCCUGACCACAGAUUGCCUGGAAGGUACCAAAAUAGCAGCACAAGGAUGGGAACAGGGCAGCAUAUCCACUUCAUCUGGAGAGGUGUCCCCUGGAAAAGGGCUAAUCCCACGUGUCCCAGAUGGAAUCUCUUCAGUCCCCCUCCAUGGCACUGAUAUUAACUCAGAGAAUCUCAAACAGUGGAACUGUGUGAGCUGGAAGCCAUGAAUAAAAUAUUACUGGAGAUAUUCCCUCGUGAAAAUAAACUUGGUUUGACUUUUUAAAAA